rnacentral:rRNA from 1 species
GAUGAACGCUGGCGGCGUGCCUAAUACAUGCAAGUCGAGCGAACGGACGAGAAGCUUGCUUCUCUGAUGUUAGCGGCGGACGGGUGAGUAGCACGUGGAUAACCUACCUAUAAGACUGGGAUAACUUCGGGAAACCGUAGCUAGUACCGGAUAAUAUUUUGAACCGCAUGGUUCAAAAGUGAAAGACGGUCUUGCUGUCACUUAUAGAUGGAUCCGCGCUGCAUUAGCUAGUUGGUAAGGUAACGGCUUACCAAGGCAACGAUGCAUAGCCGACCUGAGAGGGUGAUCGGCCACCCUGGAACUGAGACACGGUCCAGACUCCUACGGGAGGCAGCAGUAGGGAAUCUUCCGCAAUGGGCGAAAGCCUGACGGAGCAACGCCGCGUGAGUGAUGAAGGUCUUCGGAUCGUAAAACUCUGUUAUUAGGGAAGAACAUAUGUGUAAGUAACUGUGCACAUCUUGACGGUACCUAAUCAGAAAGCCACGGCUAACUACGUG